rnacentral:rRNA from 1 species
AGAGAGAGACAUGCGCGCAUAUCAAUAAGCGGAGGAAAAGAAACUAACUAGGAUUCCCUCAGUAACGGCGAGUGAAGCGGGAAGAGCUCAAAUUUGAAAUCUUCAAGGGUUCUACCUUUACGAAUUGUAGUUUAAAGAAGUGUUUUCUGUUGAGGUUUUGGUAAAAGUUCUUUGGAAUAGGACAUCAUAGAGGGUGAGAAUCCCGUAUUUGACCAUUACUUUCCAACUUUGUGAUACACUUUCAAAGAGUCGGAUUGUUUGGGAAUGCAGUCCAAAAUGGGUGGUAAAUUUCAUCUAAAGCUAAAUAUUGGCGAGAGACCGAUAGCGAACAAGUACCGUGAGGGAAAGAUGAAAAGAACUUUGAAAAGAGAGUUAAACAGUACGUGAAAUUGUCAAAAGGGAAGCGUUUGACACCAGUGUUGUUUUUCUGAAAAUCAAUUAAAGAACUGUUUAUGCUAAGCUGUUUAGACUUUAUCAGCUAACCUGUUUAGUUUUGAGCUUUUCUUUAAUGCACCUUUCAGUUAACAAGUCAACAUCAAUUUCUUUUGCUGUAAAAAAGCUUGAGGAAGGUGGCUUGAGAUUCGUCUUAAGUGUUUAUAGCCUCUUGCCUAUGCAGUCGGAGAGAUUGAGGUCUGCAGCGUAGAUCCUUCGGGGCUAAAUGCAUUUGUGCUAAGUUAUAGCCUUUCAUAGACAACUUGUUGACUAUGAUCUGUCAUGUAGCUUACUCGCUUAUGCUAUUUUACCUACGCUUAGGAUGUUGAUGUGAUACUGCGAGC